rnacentral:rRNA from 1 species
UACGGAGGAUGCAAGCGUUAUCCGGAUUUAUUGGGUUUAAAGGGUGCGCAGGUUGUUUGAUAAGUCAGUGGUGAAAGUCUGUCGCUUAACGGUAGGAUUGCCAUUGAUACUGUUAGACUUGAAUAUGGAUGAGGUAGGCGGAAUGUGUAGUGUAGCGGUGAAAUGCUUAGAUAUCACACAGAAUAUCGAUUGCGAAGGCAGCUCACAAAGCCAAGAUUGACGCUGAGGCACGAAAGUGUGGGGGAUCAAA